UACGUAGGGUGCGAGCGUUGUCCGGAAUUAUUGGGCGUAAAGAGCUCGUAGGCGGCCUGUCGCGUCGGUUGUGAAAGCCCGGGGCUUAACCCCGGGUCUGCAGUCGAUACGGGCAGGCUAGAGUUCGGUAGGGGAGAUCGGAAUUCCUGGUGUAGCGGUGAAAUGCGCAGAUAUCAGGAGGAACACCGGUGGCGAAGGCGGAUCUCUGGGCCGAUACUGACGCUGAGGCGCGAAAGCCAGGGGAGCAAACGGG
rnacentral:rRNA from 1 species